CCCAGUACAUUCGAUCUAUCAUGUCAUAUGUAAGGUAACACUUUUAUACUUUUGUCUUUCUUUUUUUACUACUAUACUUGUCUUUCUGUCGACGCUUCUUGUGUGGAUGAGCUUUCCAAAAGAUAUCAUGUCCAAUCUACUCGUGUAGUACCUGUCUCACACUCUCUCGUACAUGUAUCUUGCCUAUGAUUACCACUGUAGAUGAGUGGAUACAACAUGGGCACCAAACAGUAGAGAGAUGUAUGCUUUGGUGGCCUUUUUCUUUUUGUCUUCAUAUAUUAGCUAGUGGGAAAUGUGAAAGGCGUAUAUAUGUAAGGUGUAUGGAA
rnacentral:lncRNA from 1 species